GAAAGGGGGGGUGGUUACAAGCGGCUUUCAAGGCCGGCCACUUACCCCGGCUUUUGGAUAAAAGCGCGGGGGAGGGGUGGACAGGUCGUGGUGGCAGUCGGUGGCUGGAACUGGACCUUGACUUCCGGAGUAUUUUAUUUGGUUUAUCCCCGGCGUGUUUGUUUCUCUUGCCCUCAGUUAAUGAAACGGGACACAAUUACAAAUGCUUUCCAUUCUCCUUCUUCCUGUAAAAUCCUCACGUUAGUAUAAGUGUCCGCACGUUCGCGGGCUGCCGGUGUCAGCCGCCAGAUGCAUAACCCGUUUCCACCACAUGUUGGAAGUAGUAUGCCAAAAAUAACUUUUAUGCAGUUUAUUAUGGGAAGCGUGUGAUAAUUUAAUCAGACGGUCGUGCAAAUGAUUAUCUCAUCCUCCCAGCGCAAAGAGGAAUGGCAAACAUUCUUGCAAACAUUAUAUAUUUAAAAACACCGAAAGACUGAGUGGGACGUGUAUAUUAUCAAGCAGCCGGAGACUUGACUACGCUGAGGAUGUGAGAAAGACACUCACCGUUGCUGUUGGGCCCCUAGAACGCGUGUCCAGAGGAACUGCUGAAACAGGUAAGAUUGCAACGUUUAAAAGCCAUUUCGACAUGAAGACGCGGAUGGACAGGGAGACAUAUGGACCUUGUGCAGGCAAAUAAGAUUAAUUUCGGGUGGCAUCGUGGUCAGUGCAAACAUUGUGGGCUGAAUUACCUGUUCCUGUACUGUACGAAAAGUUCGAAAUAUUCGAUGUUUCUGGGCCGUCACAGCUCUCCUUAUUAUUCACGAAUCACUCCGAUCGAACCAGGCACGAUUUACUUUCGAAUGACAAUUGGGUAUCUGACUGCCGUUGUUCACAGUAAAUACAAUAAAUCUUUAUUACAAA